AGGACGAACGCUGGCGGCGUGCUUAACACAUGCAAGUCGAACGGAAAGGCCCUUUCGGGGGUGCUCGAGUGGCGAACGGGUGAGUAACACGUGGGUGAUCUGCCCUGCACUUUGGGAUAAGCCUGGGAAACUGGGUCUAAUACCGAAUACACCUUGCUGGCUGCAUGGCUGGUGGGGGAAAGCUUUUGCGGUGUGGGAUGGGCCCGCGGCCUAUCAGCUUGUUGGUGGGGUGAUGGCCUACCAAGGCGACGACGGGUAGCCGGCCUGAGAGGGUGUCCGGCCACACUGGGACUGAGAUACGGCCCAGACUCCUACGGGAGGCAGCAGUGGGGAAUAUUGCACAAUGGGCGCAAGCCUGAUGCAGCGACGCCGCGUGAGGGAUGACGGCCUCGGUUGUAACCUCUUUCAGUAUCGACGAAGCGCAAGUGACGGUAGGUACAGAAGAAGCACCGGCCAACUACGCGCCAGCAGCCGCGGU
rnacentral:rRNA from 1 species